UAGGGAAUAUUGGACAAUGGGGGCAACCCUGAUCCAGCCAUGCCGCGUGAGUGAAGAAGGCCCUCGGGUUGUAAAGCUCUUUUGUCCGGAAAGAAAAGCUUCGGGUUAAUACCCCGGGGUUCUGACGGUACCGGAAGAAUAAGCACCGGCUAACUUCGUGCCAGCAGCCGCGGUAAUACGAAGGGUGCAAGCGUUACUCGGAAUUACUGGGCGUAAAGCAUGCGUAGGUGGUUGUUUAAGUCUGAUGUGAAAGCCCUGGGCUCAACCUGGGAAUGGCAUUGGAAACUGGGCAGCUAGAGUGCGGUAGAGGGUAGUGGAAUUCCCGGUGUAGCAGUGAAAUGCGUAGAGAUCGGGAGGAACAGCUGUGGCGAAGGCGACUGCCUGGACCAGCACUGACACUGAGGCACGAAAGCGUGGGGAGCAAACA
rnacentral:rRNA from 1 species